CUUAGUAGUCAUUUGGACCUACUCAAUAUCUUCCUCACAAGUUAUGCUGCCCUAUUCUUGUCCUGCCUAGUUUUUUGUUGACUUAUACAAGAAACUAAUUAUGGUAUUAGCUGACCCAAAGUGUAUCAAGUGUAGACAUAAUUAAAUUGUAAAAAAAUUAAUAGAGCUUCUCAAAAUUUCUAGAUUAGAAGUUAAACUGUGCUCAACUAGAACUGUAACUUCUAGCAUUCAUAAACACACACACACAAAUCAAAACUAACUGUUGUCUGGAAUUUUCAGACAAAUAGGGAAGUGGCGAGAAAGAAGAGUUUAUUGAGAUAAGAAAUGCUGCCAACAGAGCAGGAUAACUACCUGGUGGUCAGGGAGAGUCAACCCCAAAGGAAUUUGGCUGCUUCUUUUUAUAGCCAAAGGGUAAGCCAGAGGGUGGGGUUUGCUGAUUAGCCCAGGGUCUGAAACUCUCCUCAUUCUGAAUAAGGGCCUGCUUGAGGAAUCCAUUCCUUUAUGAAGAAAGGAGAGCCUGCUAGAGUAGGUACUUCUUUAUCGGAAGAGACCCAGGCCUAUCACAUUCAUCAGCUCCAGGUUUUGUCCAUUUGCUUCAGGUUUUGUGUUUGAUCUGAUAUACUGCAGCUUGAGUUCUACAACUGUGUGUCAAAAAACAUUUCAGUUCAUUCUGGAGAACAAAGUAGAAGUUGUUCUGAUUUUUCUAUUAGUACUUAGACUUAUUUUGGUUUAAUUUUCAGAGACCUUAUUUAAAGCCCUUGCAUAAUCAUCAAGGCUCCAAGAAUUGCCUCUACUGAGUUUUGUUAGCAAGUCUGUGCUCAUACUUCUCCUUGUUUCCUGAGUGGUGUGUUCCUCCCAUGUUCUAAGAUGUAAGUCAAGACAUUUCUCAAAAACUUAAUCUCUUCAUGUAUAAAUUGAGAGCUACAAUUAUUUCAAUCAGUUUACCUACUUAUCCUAAAGAAUUGCUGUGGAGAUCAAGAAAGUAAUACAUAUGCACACAAUUUCACAAUUUCAAAAGUAUACUGUUAUAUCUUACUCAGUAGUAUUGCUCUUUAGCAAUUCCAGUUCUAUUUCUUAGGAGUUAUCUAAUUUAAGACAUGAUUAAUCCAUGAAAUUUUUAGAGAUUAUUAUACCUGGCCACAUGGAUGAGGACAGUGUACCAAACGAAACAUUUCUUAACCAUUUGGGUAAAAAGAUCUUUGGAAAACAAUUAGAAAUGCUGCCAAAUUGCAUGCUACUAGACUUAUAUUUUGCAGAUCAUAAAUUCUCUUCUAAGGCUGUAGGCAAACUUAAUUAGAUUAAAAUAAAAAAAAAACUCUGCUAAGAUUAGUUCAUGCUUUAAUUAGGUGGACACAAAAUAAAAAGCUUGGUUUUACUAGAUUUAUCAAAUUAUUGUCUGAAAUAUUUCUCCCCUUUGACAUCUUAAGAAGCCUCAUGCUGAGGGUUUAAUACCUCCAAGGAGAUUGAGAAAAUCUUUAUAAUACCAGAGUUUGAAUUACCAGCUCAUCUUACUUCUUUUCACAUUUUUUUUUCCUUUCAAAACAUAAUUUCAAAUGUGCCGAAGAGGCCCAUUUGCUCCUGCAAAUCAUCUGAACUUGUUUAUUCCAUCAAGCCAUGGAAAAAUAUGUAGCCUGGAAAAAGGUGGAGAGAUGAAAGGUGGAUGGAAGGAAGUGAAAAUGCAUGAGGUAUAUUUGGGAAAUAAAUAUCAGUAAAAAUUAGAGUUGUGUUUAUGUCGAGUGCAACUUUGAGAUGUCUAGCUUAUACAACAGGCAGAAUGAUGAUGGCUAUUUACUGAUUUGGAAAGCAGGAGGCUUAUCAGGGCUGGAGUGUGCAAGCAUCAAGAGAGAGAUGGUGUUGAGUUUAGAAUAUUUGUUUUAUAUCUAACCUAAAGUACCUAAACUCCAUAGUUGGAAAAUCAUUCAUAUAUACUGAAAUCAAUCUGCUGCUUUUUUUUAAGAUAACACCUUCUGAAAAUUAAGAGUUCCACAGGAUGAUCUUAAUAACUUAGCAUGUGUGGAUGAAUUUAUCAAAUUGUUAUUCUACAGAGGAAGACUCUAUAGAGCUUGUGAAAAAUAAGAAAAAGACUAUACAAUGAAUGGAGGAUUCCCAAAAGAAAAAAACAACAAAAACCAAAACCUACCUACUUCCAAAGUUCACCAAGACUGACUCUACUGAAGCUGUUAGAAUUAGGUAAUGUUCACAUUUUUUAAAGUUGGAAUCAUCAGGAUGUAAAGUUUUUAAAUACACGUAACAGCUUUUCAAGGUGUGUGGUUAAAAGGGCUUUACCUUACUUAGAUUUCCUCUCUGGUCUAUAUACCAUAAAUUUUCUUUUUCACUAUGUUCAAACAAUCAAGCAGAGCUAGUCAUUAGCAAAUUAACUGAGCCUCCUAAAGUGUGUAUUUCAAGCUCACGCUCAUGAUUGUGAAUGAGGACCAAUUAUGUUUUCACAUCUGUCACUCACAUCAUCAGCUGUAGAAUGUCAAGACCCACUGGCAUAUGGUGUGUACAUUUGAGAGCAGAGGUUCAGAGGUGAACUGUUCUUAGCAAAUGCUAUUGUCAACAUCCAUUGACACCCAUCAACUGAUUCCUUUAUUCUUGGUAGGAGCUCGUUUUGUUUAUCCCAGGUAUUUUAAUGAAAUCUUUUUCUACAUUAAAGGGUUUUCAUUCCUGAAGUCAGAUUUUAAAAGAGUUUAUCUACCGGAGGGGGCAGGAGAGUUAAGAUAUCCCUCAAAAUCCUUAUGUAAAACAUAUAUACAAAAAAGCAGAUUAAGAAAGCAAAGUAUAGGUGAAUACCUGAUAUUGAGAUGAGUAAGUAUGUGAAUUAUCCUAUGACAGACAUAAUUAAAGUGAUAGUAGUACAUAAAAGUGAAAAUUUUAGUUCUGUAAAAAUAUUAUGAAUUAAAUUGUAAAAUGCAAACUGGUAUUUAAAACCACAUACAAAUGUUUUCAUUAUUAACACCUGAGCAUUUCUUCUCUCACAUACAACACUAGGGAUUGGUAGUACUUUCAAUUUUCUUAAAAAUCAUAUACUAAAAUAUUAUUUCAUGUUGUUUAUUUUUCUAUUGGACAUUAUGAACUCUUGGUGUUCCUGCACCAUUUGCACACUUAUAUGAUCUCCUCUUACGGAUUUUUGUGAGUUCUUUAUAUCUGGGGGGAGGGAGUAGGAUGGAUGGGCAAUUUGGGGUUUUUGGAUACAAACUGUUGUAUAUGGAAUGGAUGGGCAAUGGGGCCCUACUGUACAGCACAAGGAACUGUGUGUGAAUGGGUCAAUUUGCUGUACAAUGUAAAUUGAAGAAACAUUGUAAAUCAAUAUACUUUAAUAAACAAAAAAAAAAACCCAAUGUUUUAACUGUCAGUACAUUUUAAGCUCAUUUUUCCUCUACUUUUUUAUUUUCCUGUGGACUUUGUACAUGAGGUAGAUAUCUUUUAUUUGGAUAGGAUUUUUUUCUUAAUGAAGAUAAAUUUACCAAACUUCCUUGAUAAAAAGAAAUAAGCUCUGAAUUCUAGAUGUCAUUGAAAAUACUUAAAAAUACUUUAACUAAAGGCAUAUGAGUUUAUUGAUUUGAGAACAUCUAUAUUCUAUAUCAGUAUCCCAAUCUUAUGCUUUUAUAUGGUAGUUGAAACUAUUUCUUCUGCUCUGUCAGGAAGAGGCAUUUACCAGCUAUAGUAUCUUGAAUUCAGUAAACUAAUUUGUUGAACUUUCAUCCAUUUAGUUUCCUCUGAUGGCCUCAGCUAUCACCUGACCCAAGCAAUUUCCUGUUUUUCCACUGGCUAUUCAAUUAUAUUUUAAGCAAGGCUAUCAAGCACAAUUCAAGUCACAACUUGAACAUACUGCAGUCAAUUUGUCCAUAUCCUUGGCACUUUUUUUACCUAUGAGGAAUCACAACCAAGAACAUUUUGUACAAGAUCUUCUUGUCUUCCUUGCUCUUUUUUAUGACUUAAUAUCUCAUGCUAGAAGCAGGCUUUUUUUGUUUUUCUGUCUUUUUUUUUUUUUUUUUUUUUUUUUUUUUUUGUUGAUUUCCAGAUUAUUCCUGAUUCCCUCUGAAUUACAUGGAAUUAAAUGUCAUGCCCACUUUGGUUUUCAAAAAAGACUAAAAGUGUUAUGAUUAGCUAAAACUAUAUAAGUAAAGUACAUAGUACCAGAAGCUAUGGGGAUGGUACUUACAUGCACAUUCGUUCUGAUUGACUCUUAGAAUGAGAUUCUUAUACAGAAAAUUUACAAAGGAAAGAAGGAUCCAGACAUCACACAAAGGAAACUUAGGGGCCCAUAUACUUUUAACAAAAAGCUAAAAAGGGCAUUUCACAAAGUAAGAUUGGAGAUAUGCUCUGAGCCCAAUAUAUUCUUUAGAUGGAAUUUCCUCUUUCUUAACCUUAAUUUCCUUUUCUCAUUCAUUUCUUUUUUCGCUAGUGCCAAUUUCAUUUACUUAUCUCAGGUAAUUCAUCUUUAAUCCUUUUUUUUCCUUAGUUCAAUUUUAUUACCAUACAACUUCCAACAUUCUCAAAAUCUCUUCUUCAUAGCCCAUAAUAACUAAAUGAGUGCUUCAUGUAACACUAUUUUUCUUCAUUUCCUUAUCCAUUAAUCUACUUUUCUAAGUAUUUCUGGAAAAACAUUUUUGAGAGAUGAAGUCCAUAAAAAAAACAAGUUAAUUAUUCUCAGAGGCUGCAGGAGUACUCUUUAAUGUAGAAGAGUGAGCUGUAAAGAAUGCAGCUUUAGGAGUUCCUGUUGUGGCACAUGGAAACAAAUCCAAUUAGUAACCCUAAGAUUGUCGGUUCGAUCCUUGGCCUCCAUCAGUGUGUUAAGGAUCUGGCUUUGCUGUGAGCUGUGGUGUAGGUCAUAGAUGCUGCUUGGAUCCUGUGUUGCUGUUGCUGUGGUGUAGGCCAGCAGCUACAGCUCAGAUUCAAUCUCUAGAUGAGAAAUCUCCAUUUGUGCUGGGUUAGGCCCUAAAAAAAAAAAACGCAAAAAAAAAAA
rnacentral:lncRNA from 1 species